rnacentral:misc_RNA from 1 species
AGCAGCCAUGCAUUCAAGGCAGGUUUGUCAUAACUUGUGUAUGACUUCUUGGAUUAUAAUUUGUUCUACUGCAUUACAUAGUAAACCAAAACUUGCUGCCUUCGGAACAACAUCGCAUUUCAGGACCAGUUUAAUCUCGAAGGUAUUUGUUUUUUUAUAGCUUACCUUAGAUGUCUGUAGUUUUUGCUUCCAUCCGGUACCCAGUCUUGAAAAUUGUAGCAUGAUUUACAUAGAUAACAUGAUUGAUUUGAAGUUUGAUAAAAUAAAAUUAUUUAAAAAGUUAUGAAUUUGUGAAAAUCUUGUUAGUUUUACCCUAAACCUGGUGAUAUGCAUAUAUAAUACCCAUGUGUUAAUAUGAAAUAGGAAUUCACCAAUUGCUAGGCUAAAGUGGAUGUGUUUAAUUGAUACACAACAGCAUCUAUAACCGAUUAAAUGUAUAAAUUUCACUUGAGCAAUUUAUCCUACAAGAAUGUAGGUGGCCAUGCAAAAGUAGGUUGUUCUAGGCUUUUAGCAGCUGGUAAAGCUAGUAUGCACUAUUAGUAAGAUUCUAUAAUGGGGUGAGAAAUAAACAUUUUUGUAUGGUAUCAUAUGUCAACUUUUGGAGUAGGAAUUUAGAAUUUUUUAUAGGCAUAUUAAAUUUAUAAAAAUGGAAUUAGUUAUCAUAAUAUAUUUUAUUUUAUAUAAAAUAUUAAAUGUUUUUGGGCUGGUUUUGGUAGUAUAUGGGUACUGGGUAGUGUGAAUUGGAUUUUGGAUGGUUAUAGGUGCUAAGGGACGAAUUUUAAUUGGGUUUUGUCGUUGGAACAAGUUCAGGCAGUAAAAUUGUCAAAUGGGUAUGGUUAUGUGUGGGACAAUUUUCACAUACACCUUACUCAUUGCCAUUCCUGUGAGGGAAGUCUUAUGUUUGGGAGUACUUGGGAUUCAUUUUAUUUACUAAAUUGGGGAGAAGGAGUUGGAGCCCUCGUUAUAUGUUGUAUUUAAAUCUUCUGCCUUUCUACAAUUAAGUUCAAAUUUUCUUCCUGUCUAUUUGGAAAGGAACAUGAAAAGGAAAAUCCUGUAGAACUUAAUCAUCUUCAGGUGUAUUUCUUCUUAAGUCCUUUGAAGUUCUUGAUUAUUGUCAGCUUACAUGUGAAUUGUGGACGGUUUCAGGUCUUGCAUGGUGCAGAAAGAGGAGAGCCAUCUGCAUUGCUAUUU